GGUGACAUCAUCAGUGGAGACUCUGAUGAAGUGAUGUUAUUCUACUCCACUUGGAAUUUCUACUGUCUGGCCCAUUAUGGUGAAGAGUAAGGACCAGGAACCCACUCCUCUCCAGGUGUCCAUUAAAGCUCUUGAGAAGCUUGUUCAAGGGUCAGAAGGCAAAUCCAAACCGCCUGUACCUGUCAGAUCUUGCCCUUUUCUGGGUGACCCUGGUUCCUUCCCACAGCCAUUCCAUAGGAAAUGUCUAUGGAUGUAGCAUUUUGUGCGAGCAAUUGGUUUGUACAGAAGUCUGAAAUCAGCAAAACAUCCUGCAGCACUUGCAACACUGCUAUAAGUCAACUCUUGCAAAUGGUAAAAAUAAGAAACAACCAAACACAUGCAGAAUCUUAGCAAAAACCACAAGAAAACAAUCAGCAUUGAACUUACAAGUUAUAAUGUUUUCCUGAAAUAGUGCUGGAGGUGGGGGUGAGGUAGAGAUGUCCAUCCGGCUUCUAAAUAUGUGCUCAACUGUGCAAAGUUAAUAAAAGGUGUUAUCUGGAA